AGAGCGAACGCUGGCGGCAGGCUUAACACAUGCAAGUCGAGCGCCGUAGCAAUACGGAGCGGCAGACGGGAGAGUAACACGUGGGAACGUACCCUUCGGUUCGGAACAACCCAGGGAAACUUGGGCUAAUACCGGAUACGUCCGUAAGGAGAAAGAUUUAUCGCCGAAGGAUCGGCCCGCGUCUGAUUAGCUAGUUGGUGGGGUAACGGCUCACCAAGGCGACGAUCAGUAGCUGGUCUGAGAGGAUGAUCAGCCUCACUGGGACUGAGACACGGCCCAGACUCCUACGGGAGGCAGCAGUGGGGAAUAUUGGACAAUGGGCGCAAGCCUGAUCCAGCCAUGCCGCGUGGGUGAUGAAGGCCCUAGGGUUGUAAAGCCCGUUUCGGCGGGGAAGAUAAUGACGGUACCCGCAGAAGAAGCCCCGGCUAACUUCGUGCUAGCAGCCGC
rnacentral:rRNA from 1 species